rnacentral:rRNA from 1 species
GAUGAACGCUAGCGACAGGCCUAACACAUGCAAGUCGAGGGGCAGCACAUGAGUAGCAAUACGAUGGUGGCGACCGGCGCACGGGUGAGUAACACGUAUGCAACCUGCCUUCUACUAUGGGAUAACCCGUUGAAAGACGGACUAAUACCGUAUAAUACAGGGGCUCCGCAUGGAGAUAUUUGUUAAAGAUUUAUUGGUAGAAGAUGGGCAUGCGUAUGAUUAGAUAGUUGGUGAGGUAACGGCUCACCAAGUCAACGAUCAUUAGGGGUUCUGAGAGGAAGGUCCCCCACACUGGUACUGAGACACGGACCAGACUCCUACGGGAGGCAGCAGUGAGGAAUAUUGGUCAAUGGACGAGAGUCUGAACCAGCCAAGUCGCGUGAAGGAAGACGGUUCUAUGAAUUGUAAACUUCUUUUGUGCAGGAAUAAAGUGGGUUACGUGUAACCUUUUGUAUGUACUGUACGAAUAAGGAUCGGCUAACUCCGUGCCAGC